GAGGAAGUGCUGGGAAAGGCACAAAAACAGAUUGGAUGAUGCACGAGUUUCGCCUCCCACCAACUUGGAAGACUACUAUCAAAAAAGGAAGAGGAAAGAAGCGCACAGGUAGCAGGAAGAAGGAAGCGCCUAAAGUUGUAAAAACUUGGGUAUAGAUUAAAUAAUUUUAAAAAUAUGGGUAUAGGUUAUGUCGCCCCCGUGCAAUCUUACGUUUAAGAUAGUAUAUUUUCUCCUUUUCAGAAAGCCCACCCAUAUUCCCUUAUUGUCCUUUGGACUUUUAGGUCCAUUACAUACCUUCCUUCCAGCUGGACCUCUGUCGGGCGGAAAAUAGCCCAUAACUGAAACUAAAACAACAAAAUUCAUUGUCUGUUUCAUUUCCUUCUAACAUAAACAUAAUUUCCAUAAAUACCAAGAAAAGAAGUUCCAAAAAAAAAAAAAAAAGAAAGGAAAUUCUCAAAGGUUGUGCAAAGACAAAGGAAAAGAGAUGAGGAUUUUUGGGAAGCACAUAUUUCCAAGACAAAUUGUACUCUUCUCUUCUGGGGUGUUGUUCUUGGCUUCAACAACAUAUGAUGUGCACAGAUCCAUAAAGAACAACGAAACACCACCUUCUGAAGAGCAAAUCCAAGCACUUGAAGAUUACAUAAACUCUGUUCGUCGUCCUUCUUAGACUAUCGGUCCAUAUUAUGCCACGUUUACUGUUAUGUACUUAUGGCCGGUCCAUAUUACGCCACGUAUCUUGUUAUUACCUAAUUAAUUUAUGAAAAGGGAUAUUGUAAUUUACAUACGUAUGCUCUUACGAUUUUACUUGUGGUAUCUGCGUUACUUAU